GGAUAACCUACCCUUAGGACUGGGAUAACCCUGGGAAACUGGGGCUAAUACCGGAUAGGCAAUUAUUCCCGCAAUGGUUUUUUGUUUAAAUGUUUUUUCGCCUAAGGAUGGGUCUGCGGCCGAUUAGGUAGUUGGUUAGGUAAUGGCUUACCAAGCCGUUGAUCGGUACGGGUUGUGAGAGCAAGAGCCCGGAGAUGGAACCUGAGACAAGGUUCCAGGCCCUACGGGGUGCAGCAGGCGCGAAACCUCCGCAAUGUGAGAAAUCGCGACGGGGGGAUCCCAAGUGCCAUUCUUAACGGGAUGGCUUUUCAUUAGUGUAAAGAGCUUUUGGAAUAAGAGCUGGGCAAGACCGGUGCCAGCCGCCGCGGUAACACCGGCAGCUCUAGUGGUAACAAUUUUUAUUGGGCCUAAAGCGUCCGUAGCCGGUUUAAUAAGUCUCUGGUGAAAUCCUGUAGCUUAACUGUGGGAAUUGCUGGAGAUACUAUUAGACUUGAGACCGGGAGAGGUUAGAGGUACUCCCAGGGUAGAGGUGAAAUUCUGUAAUCCUGGGAGGACCGCCUGUUGCGAAGGCGUCUAACUGGAACGGUUCUGACGGUGAGGGACGAAAGUUAGGGGCGCGAACCGGAUUAGAUACCCGGGUAGUCCUAACUGUAAACGAUGCGGACUUGGUGUUGGGGUGGCUUUGAGCUGCUC
rnacentral:rRNA from 1 species